AUUGAACGCUGGCGGCAUGCCUUACACAUGCAAGUCGAACGGCAGCACGGGAGCUUGCUCCUGGUGGCGAGUGGCGAACGGGUGAGUAAUACAUCGGAACGUACCCUGAAGUGGGGAGUAACGUAGCGAAAGUUACGCUAAUACCGCAUAUUCUGUGAGCAGGAAAGAGGGGGAGUCGCAAGACCUCUUGCUUUAGGAGCGGCCGAUGUCGGAUUAGCUAGUUGGUGAGGUAAAGGCUCACCAAGGCGACGAUCCGUAGCGGGUCUGAGAGGAUGAUCCGCCACACUGGGACUGAGACACGGCCCAGACUCCUACGGGAGGCAGCAGUGGGGAAUUUUGGACAAUGGGCGCAAGCCUGAUCCAGCCAUGCCGCGUGAGUGAAGAAGGCCU
rnacentral:rRNA from 1 species